rnacentral:rRNA from 1 species
AUUGAACGCUAGCGGCAUGCUUUACACAUGCAAGUCGAACGAGUGGCGGACGGGUGAGUAAUAUAUUGGAACGUGCCCAGUAGCGGGGGAUAACUACUCGAAAGAGUGGCUAAUACCGCAUACUAUUUGAUUUGCCCAUAUCGGAUUAGCUAGUUGGGGGGGUAAAGGCUCACCAAGGCGACGAUCCCUAGCUGGUUUGAGAGGACGACCAGCCACACUGGGACUGAGACACGGCCCAGACUCCUACGGGAGGCAGCAGUGGGGAAUUUUGGACAAUGGGGGAAAGCCUGAUCCAGCCAUGCCGCGUGUAUGAGAAGGCCUUCGGGUUGUAAAGUACUUUUGGCAGAGAGGCGGUAUCUGAAGAAUAAGCACCGGCUAACUACGUGCCAGCCGCCGCGGUAAUUC